rnacentral:rRNA from 2 species
CCAAUAGCGUAUAUUAAAGUUGUUGCAGUUAAAAAGCUCGUAGUUGAACUUCGGGGUUUACCCAUUGGUCAGGCUUAAUUGUCUGUACUGGUGAGAUGAAUCUCUACCUUCUGAGGAACUUUCAUGCCAUUUAUUUGGUGUGAUGGGAAAUCAGGACUGUUACUUUGAAAAAAUUAGAGUGUUUAAAGCAGGCUAACGUCUGAAUACAUUAGCAUGGAAUAAUGAAAUAGGACGGAUUGAUUCUAUUUCGUUGGUUUCUAGGAUCACCGUAAUGAUUAAUAGGGAUAGUUGGGGGCAUUAGUAUUCAAUUGUCAGAGGUGAAAUUCUUGGAUUUAUUGAAGACUAACUACUGCGAAAGCAUUUGCCAAGGAUGUUUUCAUUAAUCAAGAACGAAAGUUAGGGGAUCGAAGACGAUCAGAUACCGUCGUAGUCUUAACCAUAAACUAUGCCGACUAGGGAUCGGACGAAGUUAAUUUUAUAAUGACGCGUUCGGCACCUUACG